rnacentral:rRNA from 1 species
UUGCCCCAGUAACGGCGAGUGAAGCGGCAACAGCUCAAAUUUGAAAUCUGGCCCUCGGGUCCGAGUUGUAAUUUGUAGAGGAUGCUUUUGGCGCGGUGCCUUCCGAGUUCCCUGGAACGGGACGCCUUAGAGGGUGAGAGCCCCGUACGGUUGGACACCAAGCCUCUGUAAAGCUCCUUCGACGAGUCGAGUAGUUUGGGAAUGCUGCUCUAAAUGGGAGGUAAAUUUCUUCUAAAGCUAAAUAUUGGCCAGAGACCGAUAGCGCACAAGUAGAGUGAUCGAAAGAUGAAAAGCACUUUGAAAAGAGGGUUAAAUAGCACGUGAAAUUGUUGAAAGGGAAGCGUUUGCGACCAGACCUUUUCCUAGCGGAUCAUCCGGUGUUCUCACCGGUGCACUUCGCUAGGUCGAGGCCAGCAUCGGUUUUCGUAGGGGGAUAAAAGCCCUGGGAACGUAGCUCCUCCGGGAGUGUUAUAGCCCUCUGCAUAAUACCCUUACGGGGACCGAGGACCGCGCUUUUAGCAAGGAUGCUGGCGUAAUGGUCGUCAACGACCCGUCUUGAAACACGGACCAAGGAGUCGAACAUUUGUGCGAGUGUUUGGGUGUUAAACCCUCACGCGUAAUGAAAGUGAACGGAGGUGAGAGCCCUUACGGGUGCAUCAUCGACCGAUCCUGAUGUCUUCGGAUGGAUUUGAGUAAGAGCAUAACUGUUCGGACCCGAAAGAUGGUGAACUAUGCGUGGAUAGGGUGAAGCCAGAGGAAACUCUGGUGGAGGCUCGCAGCGGUUCUGACGUGCAAAUCGAUCGUCAAAUCUGCGCAUGGGGGCGAAAGACUAUCG